AUAACACUCCUGUACACUUUAAAUCUGGGUGAAGCAGAACUCAGAGAAGGAUGAUUUUAGGACAUUGUAUUUUAUUUGUGCUCAUUUCAUAUUCUUAUGGACAGUCCCUGACCUCCUCUGCUUCUGUGGUGAAGAGACCUGGAGAGUCAGUCACUCUGUCCUGUACUGUCUCCGGAUUCUCAAUGGGCAGCUACUGGAUGAGCUGGAUCCGUCAGAAACCAGGAAAAGGAUUGGAGUGGAUCGGGCGCAUUGACACUGGCACUGGCACAACAUUCGCUCAGUCUCUGCAGGGCCAGUUCUCCAUCACUAAAGACACCAAUAAAAACAUGCUGUACCUUGAAGUGAAGAGUCUGAAAGCUGAAGACACGGCUGUUUAUUACUGUGCACGACACUCACACUGACACAACAGACUCCAGAGCUGUACAAAAACUUACACAAGCAUGUCCUCAUGAGCUGUAAAUAUUCCCUCAGCAGGAAACUGAACCCCAGAGACAUUUAUUAUAAACAACAUCCAUUCAUUUUAGUGCUCAGUUUUAUUUCCCCUUUUGUCUUACUCCAUUAACAGUCAAAAUUCCUCUGUAAAAUUCUCAGCCUUUUCUUUUAUUAUCUCUGGCUGGUGCUUAAAGCUGAAGACAAACAUGAAAGCAACAUUAAUUAUACACAAAGACAUUA